rnacentral:rRNA from 1 species
UACGGGGGGUGCGAGCGUUGUCCGGAAUCACUGGGCGUAAAGGGCGCGUAGGUGGUUUGAUAGGGUGUGGUGAAAGCCCGGAGCUCAACUCCGGGUCUGCCGUGCCGACUGUCAAACUCGAGGGCUGUAGAGGCAGACGGAAUUCCGGGUGUAGCGGUGGAAUGCGUAGAGAUCCGGAGGAAGACCGGUGGCGAAGGCGGUCUGCUGGGCAGUUUCUGACACUGAGGCGCGACAGCGUGGGGAGCAAACGGGAUU